rnacentral:rRNA from 1 species
UUCCCUUCGGGGACAUUGGUGACAGGUGGUGCAUGGUUGUCGUCAGCUCGUGUCGUGAGAUGUUGGGUUAAGUCCCGCAACGAGCGCAACCCUUGUCUUUAGUUGCCAUCAUUAAGUUGGGCACUCUAGAGAGACUGCCAGGGAUAACCUGGAGGAAGGUGGGGAUGACGUCAAAUCAUCAUGCCCCUUAUGCUUAGGGCUACACACGUGCUACAAUGGGUAGUACAGAGGGUUGCCAAGCCGUAAGGUGGAGCUAAUCCCUUAAAGCUACUCUCAGUUCGGAUUGUAGGCUGAAACUCGCCUACAUGAAGCUGGAGUUACUAGUAAUCGCAGAUCAGAAUGCUGCGGUGAAUGCGUCCCCGGGUCUUGUACACACCGCCCGUCACACCACGGGAGUUGGAGACGCCCGAAGCCGAUUAUCUAACCUUUUGGAAGAAGUCGUCGAAGGUGGAAUCAAUCACUGGGGUGAAGUCGUAACAAGGUAGCCGUAUCGGAAGGUGCGGCUGGAGCACCACCUUUCUAAGGA